rnacentral:lncRNA from 1 species
UUGGAUGAGAAUAGAUUCCAAGAAUUGAACUAUUGGACACCGGAACUUGGGUUCUCAUCGGAUGAAGCAGGGGAAAACAAAUUCAGUGAUGUUGGUGGAGUAAUCUGGCCUGGGAACCUAACUAGUGCCCCGAAAGGCUGGGCAAUGCCUACUGUUGAGAAGCCAAUGAGAAUUGGGGUGCCGGGUAAAACUUCCUUCAGCAAAUUUGUGAAGGUUGACUCAGAUAAGAAGAAGUCUGUCGACGGUUUCUGCAUUGCAAUUUUUGAUUUGGUCAUAAAUCGUUUGAACUAUUUUCUGCCGUAUCAAUUCGAAGUUUUCAAUGGCUCGUACGAUCAUCUUGUGGAACAAGUCCAUAAAAAGGUAAAACCAUCAUUUAUUUUUCUAUUUUUUCAUAAAGAUGAAUUUAAAUACUGUUUCGCUCUUUCAUUGGUUUUGAUUUGACUAUAUGCUUACAGGUUUAUGAUGCUGUCGUUGGUGACAUAACCGUGCUAGCUGACCGGCUGGACAAGGUGGAAUUCACUCAGCCAUAUAUGGAGUCUGGUUUGUCAAUGAUAGUUCCGGCAGAACCCAAAAAAUCAACAUGGAUGUUUAUGAAACCUUUCACAUGGCAAAUGUGGGUGGUGACUGUUUCCAUCUUAAUCUACACAGUGUUCAUCGUAUGGUUCCUGGAGCAACCGUCAAAUCCAGAAUUUGAUGGCCCCUUGAAGAAUCAGAUUGGCACAGCAACUUGGUUCACCUUCUCCUCUUUGUUCUUUGCUCACAGUAAGUACCAAUUUUGUACAUUUCACUACCAAAAAAGUGAGUAUUAGAAGCGCUUCUUUAGAGGCGAGGGGUGGAUUGUCCCUGACAUACGCCCCUAUUUGGCUUUGUAGCGGCCAUUCUAAACGCCCCUACCACUCUUUUCUUCUUCAUAAUGUAUGAUAACCAAUGACGAUCUAAAAUUUUCAGGACAAGCCUAACUACGAAAAUAGUCGGGUCCAAAAUUGUUUGAGAAUUGAUCUUAUCCUCAUUGUAAACCUAUGUUUUUAUUUCACAGAAGAGAAAAUCUACAGCAACUUGACGCGAGUGGUGGUCGCAGUUUGGCUCUUUGUUGUACUGAUCCUGACCUCAAGCUACACCGCUAAUCUCACUUCAAUGCUCACCGUUCAGCGACUGAAACCGAAUGCAACAUACAUCGACACCGACUCGAAAGUUGGUUGCGACGGGGACUCAUUUGUCAUUGAGUACCUGCGGAAUGUCCUUGGAUUCAAAAAAAUCAUCGAAGUGAAAAGUGAAUACGACUACCCGAAAGAAUUCAAAAACAAAACUAUAGAGGUCGCCUUUCUUGAACACCCAUAUGCAGAAGUCUUCAUUAAUGAGAACUGCAUAGGAUAUACUGCCACUGCACCCACCUAUAGAUUUGGAGGCUUGAGCUUUGUGAGUAAUGAAUAAAUUGUUCACAUUCUAUUUCUUUCUGCACGUACAAAAUACAAAAAUAUGCAUAAAUAGAACUGGUUACAAACUUUUGGUCGAAAAUAUCUCAAUAGAAGUUACCAUAUUUCUGACCAACAUAGCGAAACUAAAAAAAUCGCUUUCGUGUUCACCUCGCAGAUAUUCCAGAGAGGUUCUCCAAUAGCGCGUGAUUUCACAAAGGCGAUUCUAGAGCUGUUGGAGAAUGGAGAUGUGAAGAAGCUACAAAAUGAAUGGUUGACUCCCAAGGAGUGUCCAAGAAAUACAACUUUGAACGAACCAGAAAGCUUGACCCUCAACAGUUUUUCAGUCCUCUAUGAAAUAUCAGCUGCUACUUCCACCUUAUGUUUUCUGCUCUCUUUUACUAUCCGGCUGAGGAGGUUUCAGCAUCAAGAGGCAGCAGAACAAGGCAGUGCAAGUCCGUGCGCGAGCGGAGAAACGCUUUGGAACAAGGCAGUUAGAAUGGCAAAAUUUUUUUGCAAUAGAGAGAUUAAUGUUCCAACCAGAGCUCCAACUUUAGCACAUUACGCAGAAGAAUGGAGUUCUCCAAGGUGGGAGCCACUGGCAAAGCUACAUAGGAGCAAGGAGGGGCGGCCGCCCCUCCGGUCGUCGGAAAUCGCCAUGAAAGCAAGAAUUCGGCCCCUCCGAUCUUUCUGAACCUACUGAAAUCUGGGGGCGCUGUGCUACUGAGUUUUAAUUUUAUUGAUGUGGUCUUCUUUUAGAAACGCACUACCAGCGCACCAUUUUAAUUCUCUUCCCUCUCUCUCAUUUGUUUAGACUAUAGAAAUACAAAAGGUUGAUGUUUGUUAUUGUUCUUUUUCAAUCCUUGUUAUUACUUCUAGUAUUUAAAAUUAUAAUACAAAAGAUUGAUGUUUGUUAUUGUUUUUUCUCUAUUCUUGUUAUUAUUUAUAUUUAAAAUUAUUUUAUAUUUUGUUCUUUAAUUCUUGAGAAAUGAUGAUUUUGAGAACUUGAUUCAGAUACACAAAACUUUUGUGAGGAAAAUGAUAUUAGUGUUCUUAUUAUGUGAGAGAUGUUUUUGCUUUUAUUGAGAGAAAUGUUUAUAUUGCAAUAGAUGUACAACAAUUGUGUGAUAGUUUGAUUUUUAUAUUGAGAUGCUUUUAUUGAUAAUGAGUCUAUUAUGCGACCGUUUCAGAACAUGAAGCAUUGCCGGCAACAAUUGCAAGAUGUUUGUAUUGAUAAAUUAUUAACGACAUUAAUAUUGUCUAUUAUCUAAAAGAAUUUGAUUGCCUACAUUUUUUUUGGAAUCUAUUAUGCUUUUAAAUUUCGCCCCUCCCCUCGAAAAUUCCUGACUUCGCCACUAGUGGGAGCACUCUACCACUUCAAGUUCCACUACUACCCGAGCAUCCUCAUCAGACCAAAAAUCCACCAGAAAUUGAAUGCCUUACAAUCCAAUCCAAUACAACACGCCUAAACCAAAAUCAACCCAACCGGUUCAAUUCCCGUGACUUUACUAGCUAAAAUGCCCGCGCGAUGCUGCGGGUUGUAAAACUGUGUUAAACGUGUGAAAUAUAUUAAAAUCUAUUUGUAUUCUCAUCAAAAUCUAAAAAUCAUCCAAAGUGUAUUUGCAUAUCACAAAAUAUAAAAUGUCUUGAGUAAAUAUAGAAAAUCUUAAAUGCAUUUGGGCACACGUACCAUUUGAACAAUAGGGAUAGGGUUCUUGGUAUGCUGCAACCAGUAAAGUAGCUAGGUGCAAAUAUCAUCCAUAUUUUCCCAUCUAUAUUAUGAAAUACUUAUUGUUCAAAAUACUCUAGCAACCUUUAUACAACAUAUUGGUUGACCAAUCAAUUUUUCAAAUAUUGAUCCGAGUAGUACAAAAGUAUGUAAUCUCACAUCUAGGAUUGCCCAUCCCUAUAUAUACAGCAAAAUAGCUAUACAACUCCAUCAUUGCAAGUACUCAUAUCAUCUUUCAUUACAUCCCUGACAAAAAAAAGAAAAAAAAGAAAAAGAAAAAAGUGAUUCAAAAAUAUAUUUUAAAGUAGACUUUCAAUCCCCCCCGCCUGGUUCGUUUGCCUAAUCCCUAAGCCCACUCAAAACAUAGAAGAGUUGGACAGUUGGGUCUUAACCUUAAGCACACUCACAUACAAUAUAGUUUGUCUCUCGGAUCACAUUCGUUUAAUGGAUUUUUUGUUAGCCAGAUAUAAAAAAUAAAAAAAUAUUGGGUAAAGCAGUUGACACAUGACAUGACGGUAUUUAUAAUAGUUAAUUAGUUUGGACAUGUAUAAGUAUUGAUGAAGAUUUUUGAUUUUUCGUUUUAAUUUCUGUUGCAGCUGAAGAGUUGAUAAAGGAAAAGAAUGUAGAAGUAAUAGUUGGGAUGGAGACAUGGCAGGAAGCAGCUCAAGUAGCUGAUCUUGUCGGAAACAAGGCUCAAAUUCCGGUGAUUUCAUUUGCAGCACCCUCUAUAACCCCACCACUAAUACAACGCCGAUGGCCAUCUUUGAUACGAAUGGCAACAUAUGGUUCUGUUCCGAUAAAAAUGCAUUGCGGAUAUAGUUUCAGCCUACCAUUGGAAAAGGGUAGUUGUGGUAUACGAAGAUGAUGGCUAUGGCGGCGAUGUUGGGAUGCUAGCUCUUUUGACCGAGGCCCUUCAAGAUGUCGGUUCAAAGAUUGAGCACCGUUUGGUUCUUCCGCAGAUUUCUUCGCUGUCUAAUCCAAACGGGGUCGAGCUAGAAGAUGUUGAGGCUUCCCACCAUGCAUUCUCGGUUGUUUAUCAUUCUCCAGUCAUCGUUGCCUACGGUGACUAAUCUAUUUCGAUUGGCUGGAAAGAUGGGACUUGUUGGAAAAGAGUCAGCUUGGAUCAUCACCGAGAGUAUUGCAAGUUUGCUUGACCCUCAACACACCUCUGACAUGAAAGGCACUCUGGGAAUCAAGACCUACUAUGCCAAUAAUACUAGUUCUUAUACAAAUUUCCGGAAGAAAUUCCAAACGAAGUAUUCAGAAGGAAAUAGCGCCCAGCCAGGAAUUUACGCUCUUCGAGCAUAUGAUGCUAUUGGAAUCAUUUCACAGGCCAUAGGAAGAAUGACUGAUAACACAACUAGCCUUGAGGUGUUGAAAACCGUAUUGAGCAGUUAUACAGGUUUGAGUGCGAACAUGCGGUUAAACGGCGGUGAGGUAAACCAAAUAAGAAUUGAACUAUUUUGGAUGAGAAUAGAUUCCAAGAAUUGAACUAUUGGAAACCGGAAGUUGGGUUCUCAUCGGAUGAAGCAGGGAAAUACAGAUUCAGUGAUGUUGGUUUAGUAAUCUGGCCCGGGAACCUAGCUAGUGCCCCGAAAGGCUGGGCAAUGCCUACUGUUGAGAAGCCAAUGAGAAUUGGGGUGCCGGGUAAAACUUCCUUCAGCAACUUUGUGAAGGUUGAUCGGUCCAGGCAAGGCUCAGAUAAGAAGAAGUAUGUCGGUUUCUGCAUUGCAAUUUUUGAUAUGGUCAUAAAUCGUUUGAACUAUUCUCUGCCGUAUCAAUUUGAAGUUUUCGAUGGCUCGUACGAUCAUCUUGUGGAACAAGUCCAUAAAAAGGUAAAACCAUCAUUUAUUUUUCUAUUUUUUCAUAAAGAUGAAUUUAAAUACUGUUUCGCUCUUUCAUUGGUUUUGAUUUGACUGUAUGCUUGCAGGUUUAUGAUGCUGUGGUUGGUUACAUAACUGUGCUAGCUGACCGGCUGGACAAGGUGGAAUUCACUCAGCCAUAUAUGGAGUCUGGUUUGUCAAUGAUAGUUCCGGCAGAACCCAAAAAAUCAACAUGGAUGUUUAUGAAACCUUUCACAUGGCAAAUGUGGGUGGUGACUGGUUCCAUCUUAAUCUACACAGUGUUCAUCGUAUGGUUCCUGGAGCGCCCGUCAAAUCCAGAAUUUGGUGGCCCCUUGAAGAAUCAGAUUGGCACAGCAACUUGGUUCACCUUCUCCUCUUUGUUCUUUGCUCACAGUAAGUACCAAUUUUGUACAUUUCACUACCAAAAAAGUGAGUAUUAGAAGCGCUUCUCUUAGAGGCGAGGGGCGGAUUGUUCCUGACAUACGCCCCUAUUUGGCUUUGUAGCGACCAUUCCAAACGCCCCUCAACAGUUUUAAAGGCCUCUAUGUAAUAUCAGCUGCUACUUCCACCUUAUGUUUUCUGCUCUCUUUUGCUAUCUGGCUCAGGAGGUUUCAGCAUCAAGAGGCAGCAGAACAAGGCAGUGCAAGUCCGAGCACGAGCGGAGAAACGCUUUGGAACAAGGCAGUUAGAACGGCAAUUUUUUUUUACAAUAGAGAGAUUAACGUUCCAACCAGAGCUCCAACUUUAGCACAUUACGCAGAAGAAUGGAGUUCUCCAAGGUGGGAGCACUCCACCACUUCCAAGUUCCACUACUCCCGAGCAUCCUCAUCAGACACAAAAAUCCACCAGAAAUUGAAUGCCUUACAAUCCAAUCCAAUCCAACACGCCUAAACCAAAAUCAACCAAACCGGUUCAAUUCCUUUGACUCAUAGAGCAUUACUAGCUAAAAUGCAUGCGUGAUGCCGCAGAUUGUAAAAUUGUGUUAAACGUGUGAAAUAUAUUAAAAUCUAUUUACAUCCAUAUCAAAAUCUAAAAAUCAUCUAAAGUGUAUUUGGAGAUCACAAAAUGUAAAAUGUGUUGAAUAAAUAUAGAAAAACUUAAAUGCAUUUGGACACACGUACCAUUUGAACAAGAGGAACAGGGUUCUUGGUAUGCUGCAACCAGUAAAGUAGCUAGGUGCAAAUAUCAUCCAUAUUUUCCAUCUACAUUAUGAAAUGCUUAUUAUUCAAAAUACUCUAGCAACCUUAAUACAACAGAUUGGUUGACCAAUCAACUUUUCAAAUAUUGAUCCAAGUAGUACAAAAGUAUGUAAUCUCACAUCUUUGAUUGCUCAUUCCUAUAUAUGCAGCAAAAUAACUAUACAACUCCAUCAUCGCAAGUCCUCAUAUCAUCUUUCAUGCAUCUCUGACCGAAAAAAAGAGGUGAUUCAUAAAUACAUUUGCCCUAAAGUUUAGACUUUCAAGCACCCCGUUUGGUUCGUUUGCCUAAUCCCCAAGUCCACUCAAAACACAGAUAGAAGAGUUGGGUCUUAACCUUAAGCCCACUGACAUACAAUAACAACUAAGGAAAACUAAUGAUAAAUACUUGAAAACUUUGAAUUUUAACAAUAAGGACAAAAUAAAUGUAAAGUGAAUAGUACCAAGAUUGACUUUUUAGUGUAAAAAUAUCGUUUUUCGUUAAAGUGAACAGUAACGGGAGCUUUUUGUUAAAGUUCCCUAAAAACUAAUCUCUCUGCAAGUGCUAAAGAGAGUUUCAUUUAAUGGACUUUUUGUUAGCCAGAUAUAAAAAAAAAAAUAUAUUGAGUAAAUUUUAUUUAUCUCCUCAUGUUUAUGUGCAAUUAUAAUAUAUUUAAAACAUUUUAAUCUCAUACAUUUCCUAUUGUUUCAUUUCAAUUUCAUACCUCCGUUAGAAAAUUUGUUAAAUUAACCGUUAAAUGAUGCUGUGACAAAUAUGGAAUCCUCAUUUAUGGUAAUAUGGAACAAAUGAAAAAAAAAACAUUUUAAAAUGAUUUUUCAAUUCGAGUUGGAUUGGCCCGCCCAUUAGAGAUCGAUUUCUCAGGCUUGCAUGGGCUGGCCAAGUCGAGUUGAGCCCUCAUAUAUUUUUUUCAUAAUGAUCUUCAUACUUCUUCUCUCUUUUUAUCUUCAUUAAAGGCUAUAUCUAACUAAAACCAAUAAUAAUAGGUUUUUAAUUAUUAAUUUAUUAAUUACUAUAGGUGGGCCUAGUAAGCAGUCAAGCAUCAACACAUGCAAAAAAUGUGUGUGCAUAAAUUAGAAUGAUUCUUGGAUGGAUGGGCACACGACGAAAUACGGGAUUAAGAACGAGGAUAUCGAAAAUAAUGUAGGAGUUGCCGCAAUUGAAGAUAAGAUGAGAGAAAAUCGGUUAAUUUGGUUUGGAAAUGUGAAACGAAGAGCUAUAUAUGCUCCGGUCAGAAAAUGAGAUUAUGGGAUAAAAGCUCAGGAUCAAAAUGGUAGAGGAAGACCAAGGAAGACUCGGAAAUAGGCUUUAAGAAAAGACAUAGAGUACUUGGAGCUAAUAGAAGACUUGGCGCAAAACCGAAGGCAGUGAUGUUUUAUAAUUCAUUUAGCUGACAUCAUUUAGUGGGAUAAGACUUAACCUUGUUGGAAAUAAAAUACAAAGAGAAAGAGAGAAUAGAGGAAGAUUGAGAAGAAAAAUCAGAGUAUCUAUUAUCUCAUUAGAUAGUCUGUUUAUAGGUCAUUAGAUAGUCUAUUUACAGGUUUUAGAGUUUACAUGAAAAAAGUGUUAAACUAUUCAAAUAUUACAUACUGACCUAUAAGUGAACAACUACAUAAUAAAUAUUAAUUACAACAAACCUAAUAAUAUCAAGGCCAUGAAGCAUGGAGCCCUUUAUAUACCUACGGUCAGCCCUUGGAUCUGGUCAUGUGUUACUUGAAGAGCAAACUAAAUGUUACUUUGACGUAUCUUUCUAUCAUUCAUAGUACACACAACUAAUUAAGGUCGAAGGGAGGAAUUUUAUGGAAAGGGAACGGCUAAUAAAUUGUAAGAAAACACAUAAAAAAUGGGCAAAGACACCCGACUCACCAACGUCAAACACAACGAUGAUUUUCUAAUUCCGUAUUUUUAAGUUUUCCCGAUCAUUAAGUUGGGUUUUAUAUUUCAAUUAGGAUUCUUGUUUCAAUUAGAGUUAUUAAUUGGCUCUACUAUAUAAACAAUUGUUUGAGGCCAGUGUGUCAAAUUUUCAGUUGCAUACGGUCACACUGUGUUUCUUGUACCUCAAGCAAUUGCAUUCGUGCGUGCACACACUCUCUUUCCUUAAGCUCACGCGGAUUCGUACGUAUUUUCUGAAAGUGACUUUCAAGUGUCCAUGGGAAUGGCGUGGAGAUAAAUUAACCAAAUUUGUAUCUGAAAUUGAUGGUGUACUAUAUUGUUGAUGUGGAGCAAGGGAAGUUGGUUGUGACAAGAAAGAACCCUUGAUAAAAAGCAACUCAUCACGGCGAUUAAACAUGCGAAGCUCUGGAGAAGUCAAAAGGGUUCGAAAAACUAGCGGAUUCAACUCGAAAACCAGUUCAAGGACAUGGUCAUUGGUGAAAGUAGCAAAGUGGUGGCAAAGGCAAAAAAUUUGUCGACCUCGAUUUGUCUGAUGAAGAAGUGGGUGAGGAUGGGUUGGCACAAAUAUAAGUAAAAGACUGGAUUGCAUGAAACAGGAAUGUCAAGGUGGUGAGGAGACGACACAAUGGUGCUGCUAGUUCAAGGAUUUGCAUGAUAAGCAAGAAUAUUGUCCAGGUGGUGGUGUCCAAACCUAUCGAGUGUUGUUACGUGUUUUGACUUCUCCACAUGGUGUUGGAGGAUUUGCUGGGGAUGCUUAUCACGCGUUGCUGCAUGUUUUAAAUUUUCUACGUGCUGUCGGGUGAUUGAUUUAGGACACGACCACUUUAAAUCGUCAUCGGUUUAUGUAAGUCUUUAUUUGGGAAUGCAGUCAAACAUUAUGGCAAUAAACAUGAAAAUAAGCAACUGAUGAAUAACACGGAACAUGACACUGAUGCUUUGAAUCAUAGCAAAGAAGGGAAAGACGGCGCCAAAGGAGGCAAAGUAAGCAAUCCUGACAACCUAGAGGAUCUUCUAUCCUCCUGCCCUUGGGGUGGUGGGGAGAGAAUACAGAAUACUUCCUCUGUGUGUGGGUGUGGUCGGACCACAUGGACGGACCUUAGAAUUUCUCCCAAUAACCAACCGCCGCAACAGCAGGAUACGGUGGCCAUGCUGAUGAUGGAUGAAAACAUAGCAAUUGAUCCUUUCACUUUAUUCAGUGAUGACAAUGUUCAUAGUUGCGUUAUUUUGUAAAAUUGCUAGAUUUUUGUCUAUUUUUUGGGUCGAUUAAAUUUAUCUCAUUGGAUUGUUAUGUCCUCUAGGAUUCAUAUUUUUGUUUCUUCAAAAGAGGACUAGCUGGUGGAUUCGCCAUGCUAGUCCAUUCUUCUAGGGGUUGGAAAGAUUUACAAAGGCAUUUCAGUCUUCUCUGACCACCAUCGUGUGAUUCACCAGCAUCAAGAAUCGAAUCAGGACAUUUCGUGUGAAAAACAGGCUUAGAAUACAUCUUCAACCAUAGAACACCCCCCUGGUGGUUGUAUUCAUAUUUUUGUUUGAGUUGCGAGAUUUUAUUUUACUUUUUAGUUAGUGUUAUUGGAUUUUUGCUUAUUACUUUUAAUGGGCAAAAUUUUCAAAUUAAACGUUCUUGACUUACUAUUCUUUCAUCCAUGACAAUUGACUUUGUAAACAAACAAGUUUCAAUGAAAAAUGAGGAAUGAUGCUGUAAACACGAAUAUUCCUGCAAUGAAUGAGACAAGAAUACGUGUACAAAAUAAUAUUUGUAUUAAUAAUUUAGGGGUUACAAUCUCUUCUACAAAUUUAGCCUCUGAUUCGAUCUUUGUAAUGCAUAGAUUUGUGGAUUGUGCUAUUAAUCCAAGGGUCGUUGGGGCUUGAUCUUGAAGGUUGACAAACGGGUCUUCAAGGGGCUUUUGGGCUUGAUUUUGAAGAACGGUUGUGCGGAUUUCUUCAAAGGCUUUUGGGCUUAAUCUUGAAGGUUGAUGGGUGAACGGAUCUUCAAGGGUUUUUAGACUUGAUCUUGAAGAAUGGUUAGAUGUGUGGAUUUGUUGAUGUUGUUGAUCCAAAGGGUCGUUGGGGCUUGAUCUUAGGAUGAACGGACGAUGAACGAUGAACACUUUCUUCAAGAGUCGUCGGGGCUUGAUCUUGAAUUGGUGGAAGUUCUUUAAGGGCCGUUGGGGCUUGAUUUUGAAGGAGGAUUUGACGAAGAACGAAGAGAGCUUUCUUGAUCCUUCAGGAUUGGCUUGGGAGCUUUAAAGUUUCAAAGCUUCAAGGUUUUGGUGUGAUGUGAAUUUGUUAUGAAUUGGUGUCCUAAAAUGAAUGAAAUGGUCUUGUAUUUAUAGAAUUUUUUCAAGGCCUAAUUUUGAAUAUAAUAUUAAGAUGAAAUAAAUCAUUUCUGUUAGGUGUUGACACGUGUCUGUAGACAUCGAAAUUUCGGUAAAUAAAUGUUGACCGAUAAAUCAAAGUUUCAACGCUCAUGUAUUACAUAAAUUUUACACGUAGCGUGUGUCUAAACAAAAAAUCGAAAUAAGUUGGAAAAGUCAUCAAACAGGACACGUGUCAACACCUGGCAGAAACGACUUAUUUCAUCUGGGAUAUUAUAUUCAAAAUUAGGCCUUGGAAAAUUCUAUAAAUACAAGCCCAUUUCAUUCAUUUUAGGAAGAAAGAAACCAAUUCAUAUUACACCUUGAAGCUUUGAAGCUCUGAAACUCCGAAGCUCUCAAGCAUCCAGGUUCCCGAAGAAUCAAGAAAGCCUUCUUCGUUCUUCGUUCAUCGUUCUUCCAAGAUCAAGCCCCGACGGCCCUUGAAGAAAGUGUUCUUCGUUCAUCGUUCUUCCAAGAUCAAGCCCCAACGGCCCUUUGGAUCAACAAUCAUCCACCAAUUCAAGAUCAAGCCCCGACGGCCCUUGGAUCAACCAUCCACCAAUUCAAGAUCAAGUCCCGACGGCCGUUGAAGAAAGCACCAUCGUUCAUCAUCCAUUCAUCCAAGAUCAAGCCCCAACGGCCCUUUGGAUCAACAACGUCGACAAAUCCACACAUCCAACCAUUCUUCAAGAUCAAGCCCAAAAGCCCUUGAAGAUCCGUUCAUCACUGUUCUUCAAGAUCAAGCCCAAAAGCCCUUGGAGAUCCGUUCGUCACUGUUCUUCAAAGAUCAAACCCAAAAGCCCCCUUUGAAGAUCCGCUCAAAUCCACCUUCAAGAUCAAGUCAAAAGCCCUUGAAGAACGUUCAUCCUUAGAUCAAGCCCAACGGCCCUUUGGAUCAAUCACACAUCCACAAAUACACACCUUACGGAGAUCGAAUCAGAUGAUCAAAAUAGAGAGAGAUUGUAACCCAAAAUCAUCAAAUACAAAUAUUUGUUUGUGCGCGUUGUUCUUGUCUCUUUCGUUUCAGGAAUUUUCCGUGUUCACAGUGUCUUUAUUUGAUGACUUUUCCGAUUUAUUUUGAGUUUUCGUUUAGUCACACACUACGUGUAAAAAUUUAUGUGACACGAGAGCGUUGAAAUUGUAAUUAUUGGUCAACAUUUAUUUCACUGAAAUUUCGAUGUCUACAGAUACCUUUCAUACCCAGAAGCAAAAGUAUGGUUUACAUAAUUAUAAUUUUUAAUUAUUCUCUCGAGACGUCUGUCCAUGGAUGUGUGGAUAAAUAUUUUCUUAUUAAAAGUUAUGUUAGGAAUACUAAAUUUACAAGCUAAAUGAUGUGGCAUCAAUAAAAAAUAAACACGUUAAUCAACAGUUAAGUAAUAAUUCAAUCAUCAACUUUCAUGUCAUUUAGUUUACAAAAUUCUAUCUACAUAUUUAGUCUUCCUAACAUUACCCUUUUUAUUAAUCUCAUUAUUGAUUAUUUUAAAGUGAUUUUUUUACUAUUCAAUAUUAGCAAUUUCUCUAAUUUUGAAUUGGUUAAUCGCUUCCAUUUUAAGUUUCAAUCUCAGAUUUACUAAAUUGUAACAAAAAAUUAUGAAAUUCAUUCACGCUAAUGCAGUCAUUUUCAAGGGUUUAAAAAGAACGGUCUGCAAUGGGGGCUAGACAAGACAAUAAGUGAGGUUGAGAUCCAAGUCUAAUGUUUGCAUUCGGAAAGUUACUGAGGCAGAAAUAGGGACACGUACAUUCAAUAAAAUACGUCAACUAUAAUAGUAUGGUAUGGACAAUGACAUCAUUUAACAAUUCAGAAAAUAAAAGAAAAAAUUAAGAACCACUGGCAAAAUAUCUCCAUGAAAUUUGGAGCUACUUAGAAAGAAAGAAAAAGACCAUCAAUUCUUAGAUUACUAAAUUAAGUAUCAAAAGUUUAAUUAACAAUUGAAAUCAUUCUUGUAUUCUAAUCAUCUUUUAGAAGCGAGCCCACUUUUAAUGCGUAAACUACUAAUGGAGGCCUGGACAAUUAGUUACAUACAAGAAUGAACUCAAUCCUCACGAGUAUAUUUGUGUGUGCAAUGCAAGCAGGUUGGUAGGUCGACCAAAUCCUAACCCGACCAAUCGAAUUGAAAGUCAAGUUAGACACAAACAGAUUCGGUUUGACCCAAUCCAAAUAGCACCUUUCAUAAUUUUUAGCACCUUUUGUAAUUUUUUUUUUUAAUAAACGAUAUUAGCCUCACAAUAAACUAGCAAUAAUGUGGUUCAAAUUCGUCUUUGGCGAGAAUCAAACUUAAGACCUCUCACUUACAAAUGAAAAAAGAUACCACUAGACCAUAGUACUAAGUGAUCGCACCUUUUGUAAUUAGCUAAAAGAUAAAAAGAGACGUUUGCAUGUUGCUGGGAGCCUUGGCGAUCGCCUCUAAACCUAAACCCUAAUUCCUAAACUUGAAGAGAAAACUUAGAGAUUGAAUUUCUGUUUCAUAGAAGACCAAGUCACAUAUAUCGAUAAGCCAUUUGUCAAUAUUCCAGACCAAGUCACGGACAAAUUUUCCAGGAACAAUUAACACCGCGUAUUUUCUUACACACGACCUUAUAUUUUCCGUAUCACAUACGUAUAAUGUCAUCAUAUAAACAAGAUAUAUGGAAAAUGUUCUGUCAUUAUUUCUUGCUUCAAAAUCAAUACCGAAAUGUCUGUCUCUAAAACCAGCGCGAAUCGUGUCCAAAGACUCUGGCUUCUGUUUCCCAUGGUCAUCAUCUACCUUCUCAUCAUUCUCCCCUAUGGAGUUGAAGCCGACAGUAGCACCAAUGUCACCAACGUCGGUGCUAUCAUUAACUUUAGUUCACGUAUUGGGAAAGAGCAGAAAACCGCCAUGGAGAUCGCAGCUGAGAGCUUUAACAACCUUUCAAAGACUCAUAAGCUCAUCCUUCAUUUUCGCGACUCCGGCAGAGACCCCUUUCUUGCUGCUUCUGCUGGUGAGUAAAGCAGUAAACACAUGACAUGACGGUAUUUAUAAUAGUUAACUAGUUUGGACAUGUAUUAGUACUGAUGGAGUUUAUGUAUGUUUCGUUUCAAUUUUUGUUGCAGCUGAAGAAUUGAUAAAGGAGAAGAAAGUAGAAGUAAUAGUUGGCAUGGACACAUGGGAGGAAGCAGCUCAAGUAGCUGAUCUUGUCGGAAACCAAACUCAAAUUCCGGUGAUUUCGUUUGCAGCGCCCUCUAUAACCCCACCACUAAUGCAACACCGAUGGCCAUUUUUGAUAAGAAUAGCAACAGAUGGUUAUGCUCAGAUGAAAUGCAUUGCGGAUAUAGUUUCAGCUUACCAUUGGAAAACGGUGGUUGUGGUAUACGAAGAUGAUGGUUAUGGCGGCGAUGUUGGGAUGCUAGCUCUUUUGACCGAGGCGCUCCAAGAUGUCGGUUCAAAGAUUGAGCACCGUUUGGUUCUUCCGCAGAUUUCUUCGCUGUCUAAUCCAAACUGGGUUGAGCUAGAAGAGAUGUUGAGGCUUCCCACCAUGCAGUCUCGGGUGUUUAUCAUUCUCCAGUCAUCGUUGCCUACGGUGACUAAUCUAUUUCGAUUGGCUGGGAAGAUGGGACUUGUUGGAAAAGAGUCAGCUUGGAUCAUCACCGAGAGUAUUGCAAGUUUGCUUGAACCUCAACACACCUCUGACAUGAAAGGCACCCUGGGAAUCAGGACCUUCUAUGCCAAUAAUACUAGUUCUUAUACAAAUUUCCGGAAGAAAUUCCAAACGAAGUAUUCAGAAGGAAAUAGCGCGCAGCCAGAAAUUUACGCUCUUCGAGCAUAUGAUGCUAUUGGAAUCAUUACACAGGCCAUCGGAAAAAUGACUGACAACACAAUUAGCCUUGAGGUGUUGAAAACCGUAUUGAGCAGUUAUACAGGUUUGAGUGCGAACAUGCGGUUAAACAGCGGUGAGGUACUGUCCUCUCCAGUUUUCAGGAUUGUAAAUAUUUUGGAUGAGAAUAGAUUCCAAGAAUUGAACUAUUGGGCACCGGAACUUGGGUUCUCAUCGGAUGAAGCAGGGGAAAACAAAUUCAGUGAUGUUGGUGGAGUAAUCUGGCCUGGGAACCUAACUGGUGCCCCGAAAGGCUGGGCAAUGCCUACUGUUGACAAGCCGAUGAGAAUUGGGGUGCCGGGUAAUACUUACUUCAGCAAAUUUGUGAAGGUUGAUCUGUCCAGGCAAGACUCAGAUAAGAAGAAGUAUGUCGGUUUCU